rnacentral:rRNA from 1 species
UACAGAGGGGGCAAGCGUUAUUCGGAAUUAUUGGGCGUAAAGGGCGCGUAGGCGGCCUGACAAGUGGAAGGUGAAAUCCCUCGGCUCAACUGAGGAACUGCCCUCCAAACUGUUUGGCUUGAGACCGGGAGAGGUGAGUGGAAUUCCCAGUGUAGCGGUGAAAUGCGUAGAUAUUGGGAGGAACACCAGUGGCGAAGGCGGCUCACUGGACCGGAACUGACGCUGAGGCGCGAAAGCGUGGGGAGCAAACAGG